GGCUUGAUCUCAUGACCCUGAGAUCACGACCUUUGCUGAGACCAAGAGUCAGACGCUUAUCCAACUGCACCACACAGGCUUUUAUCUGAGAUGACUCUUAUCAAUAUACCCCAGGAGAUAUGCACAGAAGUGUUCAAGCAGCCCUGGCCAUACGAGAAGUAUCUGGGAAACAAUCCUGAUGGCCAUCUACAGGAGGACGGAUAAAUACGUGGGCUUCUUUGCAACAACUGCCUGUUCAUCCUUGAGCACAGAAAACAAAUAGAUACCUCAGAAAACCUCCUGGACUUUAGAUCUACUCAUUCCUCCACCUAUUCCAACUUGUGGCAGCAGCUCCAUCCUCAUGGUCUUCGGAGUCAGUUACCCCUGAUAGGAGUAACUUUCUUUGCCUGCUGGUUUAUGGAUUUUGAGAGCCAAAAAUGACAAGGCUGUACUCAUAAUUUCAAGUUCAGAGGAAUCCUUAUAUUGUCUUUCAUAGAAAUUUCCACCUGCUGAAAUCCUGGCCUAUAACUGAGAAUACCUAACGUUUCGGAGAUGGAAAACAAAAUUUUCAAGUGGAUCAUUUGGAAUGAUGAUGGCUAAAGACAAUAAUAUUACCCUUUGGUUCUUGGAAUCGUGUAUUCUGGCCAGUAGAGACAGAGUACCAUGAGCAUAGGUCUACUGCAUGUGCUGUAUCCUGGAGUACAGUCGCCAACCCUGAGCUGGCACAUUACUAAGUAUUAGUAGGCUCUUCCACAGUUCUGUUAUAUGGGUGGAUUGUAGGUUUAGUCUAUAACAUAAGACUAGUGGAUGCUAUGGUCAGAUGCCGAUUGUCUCACUUUCUUUGUUCACCAUGAU